AGUUGCAAAUUUCGUGAUGGUAUUACAAGCUCCUUGCCAUCCAAAAUAUGUGGCUGA
rnacentral:pre_miRNA from 1 species